CCCUUAGAUGUCCGGGGCCGCACGCGCGCUACACUGAAGGAAUCAGCGUGGCUUUCUCCCUGACCCGAAAGGGUUGGGAAACCCGUUGAAUCUCCUUCGUGAUAGGGAUUGGGGCUCGAAAUUGUUCCCCAUGAACGAGGAAUUCCCAGUAAGCGCGAGUCAUAAGCUCGCGUCGAUUACGUCCCUGCCCUUUGUACACACCGCCCGUCGCUACUACCGAUUGAACGGUUUAGUGAGGGCCUCGGAUUGGUCUCGGCCCGCUCUUUACCGGGCGGCGCCGUUGGUCGAGAAGACGCUCGAACUUGAUCGUUUAGAGGAAGUAAAAGGCGUAACA
rnacentral:rRNA from 1 species